rnacentral:tRNA from 1 species
UGGUGAUCGGCUGGGGCGCGGCCGGCGCCUGCGCGGCGCUGGAAGCCCGCGCCCAGGGCGCCGACGUGCUGGUCGCCGACCGCUUC